UCUCUCUCUCUCUCUCUCUCUCUCUCUCUCUCUCUCUCCCUCCCUCUCUCCCCAUUUGGCAACAGGGAAUCGCCGACGACCAGGAGCGACCGACAGCAAAACCCCCGUCAUAUCUAGGAAUACUAUUGUCUUGCAGACUAUCCUGAAGCAUAGCACUAUGUUUUCAACAUAAAGUUUGAGGCCGUGCUCAUACAGUGGCAGCGUGAGUUGAACUCAACAUAUGAUAAAUAUACAGCAGAUUGGCAGAGGUUUUUAAAUAUCGAUGAUAGGGUGGACCUUAAUCAUUUCAUAGCUCUUCCUUUUUUUUAUUAAAACACCAAGUCAGCACAAGUAUUUUUCAUUUUAAUUUUUCUUAUGAACAAAGAUUAUAGAUUCAUUUCAUCUUUAGUAAUAAACAAUUUGUUGUAGAAUAAAUCUAAGAAGGGAUCGGCGAAGCGAAAUAGCAUGUGCAAGCUUGACCACCACUUGGGAUCAUCAUCGUUUGCUAAUCUUGAGGGAAGCCAAUAAUGACGGUUAAUUUAAUGGCUAAGUUAGCUUAUAGCACCUUUCGCCCCACUUAUGAAGAUGAUGAGAAGAUCAAGGAAAACAUAAUGUUGGUGAUAGUACUAAUGCUGCGUCAAAGGAAGUAGCACUACGUGCUACUCAGGAAGAAGCUGAUGACCCUCACAUCUUGUCUAGAGAGGAAAAUG